rnacentral:rRNA from 1 species
CAACUGAUUGAUGGUGCUUGCACCUGAUUGACGAUGGAUCACCAGUGAGUGGCGGACGGGUGAGUAACACGUAGGUAACCUGCCCCGGAGCGGGGGAUAACAUUUGGAAACAGAUGCUAAUACCGCAUAACAACAAAAGCCACAUGGCUUUUGUUUGAAAGAUGGCUUUGGCUAUCACUCUGGGAUGGACCUGCGGUGCAUUAGCUAGUUGGUAAGGUAACGGCUUACCAAGGCGAUGAUGCAUAGCCGAGUUGAGAGACUGAUCGGCCACAAUGGAACUGAGACACGGUCCAUACUCCUACGGGAGGCAGCAGUAGGGAAUCUUCCACAAUGGGCGCAAGCCUGAUGGAGCAACACCGCGUGAGUGAAGAAGGGUUUCGGCUCGUAAAGCUCUGUUGUUGGAGAAGAACGUGCGUGAGAGUAACUGUUCACGCAGUGACGGUAUCCAACCAGAAAGUCACGGCUAACUACGUGCCAGCAGCCGCGGUAAUACGUAGGUGGCAAGCGUUAUCCGGAUUUAUUGGGCGUAAAGCGAGCGCAGGCGGUUGCUUAGGUCUGAUGUGAAAGCCUUCGGCUUAACCGAAGAAGUGCAUCGGAAACCGGGCGACUUGAGUGCAGAAGAGGACAGUGGAACUCCAUGUGUAGCGGUGGAAUGCGUAGAUAUAUGGAAGAACACCAGUGGCGAAGGCGGCUGUCUGGUCUGCAACUGACGCUGAGGCUCGAAAGCAUGGGUAGCGAACAGGAUUAGAUACCCUGGUAGUCCAUGCCGUAAACGAUGAGUGCUAGGUGUUGGAGGGUUUCCGCCCUUCAGUGCCGGAGCUAACGCAUUAAGCACUCCGCCUGGGGAGUACGACCGCAAGGUUGAAACUCAAAGGAAUUGACGGGGGCCCGCACAAGCGGUGGAGCAUGUGGUUUAAUUCGAAGCUACGCGAAGAACCUUACCAGGUCUUGACAUCUUGCGCUAACCUUAGAGAUAAGGCGUUCCCUUCGGGGACGCAAUGACAGGUGGUGCAUGGUCGUCGUCAGCUCGUGUCGUGAGAUGUUGGGUUAAGUCCCGCAACGAGCGCAACCCUUGUUACUAGUUGCCAGCAUUAAGUUGGGCACUCUAGUGAGACUGCCGGUGACAAACCGGAGGAAGGUGGGGACGACGUCAGAUCAUCAUGCCCCUUAUGACCUGGGCUACACACGUGCUACAAUGGACGGUACAACGAGUCGCAAGCUCGCGAGAGUAAGCUAAUCUCUUAAAGCCGUUCUCAGUUCGGACUGUAGGCUGCAACUCGCCUACACGAAGUCGGAAUCGCUAGUAAUCGCGGAUCAGCAUGCCGCGGUGAAUACGUUCCCGGGCCUUGUACACACCGCCCGUCACACCAUGGGAGUUUGUAACGCCCAAAGUCGGUGGCCUA